rnacentral:rRNA from 1 species
GGCGCAACCCUUGUCAUUAGUUGCUACAUUCAGUUGGGCACUCUAGCGAGACUGCCGGUAAUAAACCGGAGGAAGGUGGGGAUGACGUCAAAUCAUCAUGCCCCUUAUGACCUGGGCUACACACGUGCUACAAUGGUUGGUACAACGAGUUGCGAGUCGGUGACGGCGAGCUAAUCUCUUAAAGCCAAUCUCAGUUCGGAUUGUAGGCUGCAACUCGCCUACAUGAAGUCGGAAUCGCUAGUAAUCGCGGAUCAGCACGCCGCGGUGAAUACGUUCCCGGGCCUU